UACGUAGGAGUCACAGCUGUUCGGUCGAAUUAUUGGGCGUAAAGAGCUCGUAGGCGGCUUGUCGCGUCGGCUGUGAAAACCUGGGGCUCAACCCCGGGCCUGCAGCCGAUACGGGCAAGCUAGAAUUCGGUAGGGGAGACUGGAAUUCCUGGUGUAGCGGUGAAAUGCGCAGAUAUCUGGAGGAACACCGGUGGCGAAGGCGGCAUUCUGGACUGCAACUGACACUGAUGAACGAAAGCCAGGGGAGCAAACGGG
rnacentral:rRNA from 1 species